rnacentral:hammerhead_ribozyme from 1 species
GUCCAGCUGACGAGUCCUAAAUAAGACGAAACGCGCGUCCUGGAU